rnacentral:lncRNA from 1 species
UCAAAACCAUUAAAACGAAAUAUAUUUUGGAUUCUUAAUUCAAAAUAUUGUCUCUGACAUUAUAAGAAUUAAAGAAAACAAAAUCCCACUCAAGAGCAUCCAUCUAUUGCAAGUGGAUUUGCAUUUCCAGCAUUACAAGUUCACCAUCAGAGGAUAUGCAAAUACUACAACCAACAACUGAGAAACAACAACCUGACAAAUCACAAGACUGUAGCACACAGUCUGAGAUUAUUGAGCAGAAAUAUGCACUGAAGAACUUACUUUGGGUAGCUCCUGGACAUUGGAUGGUUGGCUCACCUCUGUGUGGUCCGACACCAGUGAAAACUCUUGCAUGAGAAGUAGAGAGGCUAAGCACUGGACACUAGUCAGCAGUGGAAUUCAGCUAAUCCACAAUAAGAAAGCAGACAAUCUUUCAAGAAAAGUAGCACCCAAUUUGUACGCAAUGUCCCGAAGAAGCACUAGCGUACGGUGGGAUUAGUUAUGCUGAGGUCCUACCUCACUCGAGCAUGCAGGCUAGGCACGUUAUUUCCAAAUUUCUGAAAGCUCUGAUGUUAUCUGUGAAUAUUUCAUUUAUCAAAAUGUUUUGCCAAACUGUUCGUAAAUAGUCAAAUCAAAACUUAUGCCAGGAUUCUUGAUUCUUUAAAUGAAUUCAUAAAAAACCUCUUAUUUGUUUGUAAAUAGUGCCAGUGAUCUUAUCCCUAUUUGCUGUUGACUUCUUGUUGCUUGUCUUUUGUAUCUUUUAGCUUGUUUCUUUUAGCAUGCGUGUGGUCUAUGAUUUUACGUGAUUUGACCUUUUGUCUGAUGUUUCUUGUUUUCUAAACUUAAUUUUUGGACAAAUGCUGAGCUUCUAACAAUUUAGUAUUUUCUAGCUUCAAAUUUUCCCUCGAAUGAUUUUUAUUUUUACUUUUUAAAUGCUGAUAUAACCAAGUGAUAAGUUGAGUAAUGUGUUAGCUACCAAUUUGACAGUCGUCAAAGUCCAGGCCUCCAUGCUUGCGUUUCAUCUAAUACAUAGAUGCUAUCAUCAAGCAUAAUUAUGACCGUAUAGAUUAGCUUCAAUCUUAGAUCUUAUUUCGUUCGAUAUAUUCAUCUACAAUAAUCAUCUUCGGCUUCCAUCUCGGUAGGUAUAUUAUUCUAUAUUUUUUUGUAAAAUAUAUUCACUCAUUCCUUUUCUUUUCUUUUUUUUUUGUUCUUCCCCGUCGAUCACUACGAGCAGGCAGUUGUUAUGCUAAACGACGAGGUAAACUUUUAAAAAAAAGCAUCAUAAGGGACUCAUUGGUAGUGGAUGAGGAUAAAAAUGAUUGGGCGAUGUAUUUUUAAAACAAAGUAGCACGGUGUUAUGGGUAUCCAUCAUCUACCAUUAUAAGGACAUAUAGUGACAUAUUACAGCGAUGGGACACCUCCUUUCGAAGCCAGGGCUUGGAUAAUUUGUACUGUAUGUCACUAGGAAUAGGAUAAACUAUCAUAAACCUCAAGAUAAUUUGUACUGUAUCUGGGCCCGGGGAUAUCAAACUGCCUAUUUAUGUGCCUGCCUUUUCUAUUUGGCCUUCAAAAUAGUUUUCUUGGUACUCAAUCAUAGGUUCUUUUGAGACCAGUCAAAUCUAUGCACAAUUUCUUCUUGCUGGAAAUGAAGUUGUGCAUUAUGUAUAAAGGAAAAUCAUUUCAAAGUGAGAUUGGUAUAUUGAAAUUGGCAUUCCAGGCAUAGAGCAAAUUCGGUGUUUUGAAUACUUUGUUGCUUUUCUUCUGUUAAUCAAAAGUUUGAUUUGUGUAAUUCAUGAUGCUUUACUGAGCAAAGAUUAGUCCUAUGCCCCUCAAGACUUCUCCAUAUAUAUUGCUUAUGCUAGAAACUCCUAAAUGCCUAUCACCUAAUGAAUGAGACUUGGAACACUAUGCUCCUAUUUGCGACCUCUCACAACAACUUUAUUAUCUUUCUUUUUUUUCGCUUGUUCUUCCUAGCCUAUGGUUAUUUUCUUACUUUUUCCUUGUCAUAAAGCUUAAAAUGAUGUUCUUAACGAAGACUAGAACACUUUAUGCCUUCUGAAGUCUUUCUAGUGUCUACCAUGUAUAGAAUUAUUGUGCCUUCUAAAGUCUAUUAUUUUGCCAGUGAGAGGGCAUGGUCUCCCCUGCUUUCCCUCAUUGAUAGUCUGCUUGGCCUCUGCUUUUCAAUACUAAAUUUCCAAACGGAUGCACAUUUAACCUUUGGGCCGCCAGAGAACCCCUUUAGCUAAUGCAUUCAACCAUUUGCUUAUAAAUUAGAUUGGAUGAUGCUGCACUCCUCCAUGUUUGAAGCACUGCAAUAUGAUGCAUACUUACCAUGCGGGACGUACUACGUGAGAUUCCACCCAUGGGCGAGUCGAUCCAUGUUUAUGCAUAAGCUUGCUUCAACAUGUGCAAUUGUGCUUGCAUGCGAUACGGGAUCGAACUAGGGUUUUGAGUGUAUUCAUGGUAAACAGCCACUUGAUAAACCGCUAUGAAAUUAUGGAUGUGCCCUUUUAUCACAAGUCACUUUUGCCUCAUUACCCAAAUGAAAUUUCCUUAUUGGUUAUUAUAUGACACCGAUAUCAAUAUCUCAUAAUCUGAUUAUUAUUAACUAGACCGUGCCAAUUAUUUGACUUUAAUUAUCACUUAGUUCAGUUCAUUUUUUUUCUACUUCCAAGCUCAUCGUUUAAACUAGACAUUAGGUCAAAAUACUUUUGAUCGAAGCAUGUAAUUCCUCCUAAAUGUACCUCUGCUUUUUCUUUUUUUUGAUUGAAUGGGAGGCUGUGCUGCCCUUUGUUUUAUUAAAUAAGAAUUAUGUUACGCAUUGGAGAGCUUUGUCAACGAUAUGCUGCUGGCCGAACCCAUAGACAUUGAGAGAUAAUGUAAGGGUCUAGGUGAGGAUUCGAAAAGGACUAAUCCCCCGACCCUUAACAAAAAACAACUGAAGACACGAGUUUGUGGGUUUAUAGACUUCAACCAUCUUAUUCUUCUUGAGUAACGUGUGCUUUAUUGUUUUUCUCUUUUGCAUGUCAUGAAAGUCGUGCACGUAGGCUUUCCUCUGCUGCUGCUGUAACAAUAUUGGAAAUCUCGACGAUCGUUUCUUUUGCUGCGCCAUUGUAAAAGGACAUCCAAUCUAUUUCAUUUGCUUGGUCAGGUUUGGGCUGGCCAUCUCUCUGGAAACCGGCUCCUUGUUGCUUUAUGGAACCGUUGUCCUGAAGCCGUCACAAUUAUAGCUAAAUGGGAAACACUUGGCCUUGAUUCAACCUGUAGAGACCCACGUUUGAGUUGGGCCGGCCUCUGAGCAAGGACGGCCCAACUCGUGAAAAUGGGGGAGGGAGUCUCCCGAUCGUAACGCUCUCCCUCCCCUGUUUUCGGAAAGUUUUCCCCCUCCUCCCGAAUCCACCGGGAAGGAGGAUCUUAGGGUGAUAAAAACCCUAGCAAUCGGGCCGAGACCUCCUCCUCUCCCUAGGACAUCAGCCGAGAGGCUUCCACACACACAAAAAAAAAAACAGAGAAAGAGAUUGGGUUUCUACCUUGCGGCGGGGAGGAUCGGAGCUUUCGCCGUCGAGCCGGUCGGAAGGAGCUCGCCGGAGGCAGGGUGAGCAUCUUCUCCUUCUUCUCCUUCGUCUUUGGCCAUUACCUCCUUGGGAAUGUAGCCGGGAAGUCGCCGGAUUGAAGGAGAAGCCGAGCCCUAUUCGGCCUUCUCCUCUCUCGUUCCGGCCGGCCGUCGCCGGGCGUGGCAUCGCCGGCACCGCCACAGGCCGACGACCAUGGGGCGUCGCCGGCCGUGGGCCACCGGUGGCCGAACCCCCUUCUCCCCUUUCCGUCGGGAAGAAGGAAGAAG